rnacentral:rRNA from 1 species
UACGGGGGGGGCAAGCGUUGUUCGGAAUUACUGGGCGUCAAGGGCUCGUAGGCGGCCAACUAAGUCAGACGUGAAAUCCCUCGGCUUAACCGGGGAACUGCGUCUGAUACUGGAUGGCUCGAGUUUGGGAGAGGGAUGCGGAAUUCCAGGUGUAGCGGUGAAAUGCGUAGAUAUCUGGAGGAACACCGGUGGCGAAGGCGGCAUCCUGGACCAACACUGACGCUGAGUGAGCGAAAGCCAGGGGAGCAAACGGG